GCCACGUCGACGCCUACCCACAAACUACAGGAAAAAAAAAACUUCGAUCCUGCCAGGAUUCGAACCUGGAAUCUUCUGAUCCGUAGUCAGACGCGUUAUCCGUUGCGCCACAGGACCGGCCUUGAUUUGGUGUAUUAUAUAUUAUUAGAAAUAUAACAUAUUGUUAACAAUAUAAUAAAUAUAAUUAAAAUAAUAUUUAUUAAUUUAAAUAAUAAUUAAUAAAAUAAAAUUUAUAAACAUAAAAAGUUUAAUUAAGAUUAUAAUACAUGUAUACUUAUAUCUAUAAGUGAUAUUAAUACAAUAUUAAUACAAUAAUCAGA